rnacentral:rRNA from 1 species
UACGUAGGGGGCGAGCGUUGUCCGGAUUUAUUGGGCGUAAAGAGCGUGUAGGCGGCCAGAUAGGUCAGCUGUGAAAACUCGAGGCUCAACCUCGAGAUGUCGGCUGAAACCAUCUGGCUAGAGUCCGGAAGAGGAGAAUGGAAUUCCCGGUGUAGCGGUGAAAUGCGCAGAUAUCGGGAAGAACACCCGUGGCGAAGGCGGUUCUCUGGGACGGUACUGACGCUGAGGUGCGAAAGCCAGGGUAGCGAACGGG